rnacentral:rRNA from 1 species
CGAGUGAGCGGGAAGAGCUCAAAUUUGAAAUCUGGCAGUCUUCGAUUGUCCGAGUUGUAAUCUAUAGAGGCGUUUUCCGUGCCGGACCGUGUCCAAGUCUCCUGGAAAGGAGUAUCAAAGAGGGUGAUAAUCCCGUACUUAACACGACCACCGGUGCUCUGUGAUACGUCUUCUACGAGUCGAGUUGUUUGGGAAUGCAGCUCAAAAUGGGUGGUGAAUUCCAUCUAAAGCUAAAUAUUGGCGAGAGACCGAUAGCGAACAAGUACCGUGAGGGAAAGAUGAAAAGCACUUUGGAAAGAGAGUUAAACAGUACGUGAAAUUGUUGAAAGGGAAACGAUUGAAGUCAGUCGUGUUCUUUGGAUUCAGCCAGUUCUGCUGGUCUACUUCCUUGGAACGGGUCAACAUCAGUUUUGUCCGGUGGAUAAAGGUAGUAGGAAUGUGACUUCUCCGGAAGUGUUAUAGCCUAUUAUCACAUACACUGGGUGAGACUGAGGACUGCAGCUCGCCUUUAUGGCCGGCCUUCGGGCACGUUCGAGCUUAGGAUGUUGACAUAAUGGCUUUAAACGACCCGUCUUGAACCA